UACGUAGGGUGCGAGCGUUAAUCGGAACUACUGGGCGUAAAGCGUGCGCAGGCGGUCUGUUAAGACCGAUGUGAAAUCCCCGGGCUUAACCUGGGAACUGCAUUGGUGACUGGCAGGCUUUGAGUGUGGCAGAGGGAGGUAGAAUUCCACGUGUAGCAGUGAAAUGCGUAGAGAUGUGGAGGAAUACCGAUGGCGAAGGCAGCCUCCUGGGCCAACACUGACGCUCAUGCACGAAAGCGUGGGGAGCAAACAGG
rnacentral:rRNA from 1 species